UUCUCUAUGAACUGUUUACAAUCGGAGGAGUUUAUACAUACAGAGCUUUCUCGACGGGAGAGACAAUCAUGCAAGAGAUGAUUGCACCUAGGGCCGCGAAAAUUCACCAUAAGUAUCGCAACUACCAGGGUGGUUCAUCUUGGAAAGGUCAAUGACCGGGUGGUUGUUAGAAAUUUGGUCAACACGGCUAGGAUUUGGUCUUUGGAAAGGAGGAAGAACGUACCGUUCAGGAAUAAUCAAGUAAUCAAUGUGUCAAUGACAAGGUCAUAUGUUUAGUCAAAGUUGUAAAAUUCCCUGGUGGUGUUUAACAAACUGCAGGAAAAAGCAAUUGGAUUUCAGAUAAGUGUUUCUCCUUUUCGUUAUUUUUUCGUGUCAAUAAAUGCAAAUAUUUGCUUGUGCGAUAACGAACUAACUAACUGACUGACUGACUGACUGACUAACUUGACGGUUUUAUGUUAUUGCAAAGCUGGGAAAGGAAUGAUAUGGGGAUGGUACAUCACUUUACAGUUUUUGCAAGUAACAGGAUACAUUUUUUUAAAAACUUUUAAGUUUUAUUUUGAAUUAAUAUUUUUUUAAUCAAUAGUUGCAAACCAUUUGCAUUAUUUAUUAUUAUCUUCGUAUCUUGUUAGACAUGUUGCAAACCAGUUGCAAACCAUUGAAUCUGAAUUAUCACUUUAUCAGACUUUUGGAGGUAUUUGCAGAAACAGCCCCAAACUAUAUAAACAUGUUUUGAAACUAUAGUCAAGUAGUCAACAACUAAAGGGUAAAAUGGUAAAGUCAACAACCAAAGGUAAAAUAUUCCUUUUCUUAAUUAAGACCCUUUUCACAAAGAAUGACUAGUUAUGUGUUAACUGAUUUUUUUUAAUGCAACCUUCUCUUUUGAUGGAUUUUAAACUUUUAUGAUCAAACUGAAAAUUCAAACUUUAUUGGGGGUGUUUUUAACUUUUUAUAUGUUUUGGAAUACCAAGGGUACAAAAUGUAAUUCACUUUAUUGGGGGUUCAUUGUUUUUGACAUUUUGUUCAACUUGAAGAAGAAAUUAUAUUUAUCCAUUUCCUUAUCCAUAUAUUGUUUUUGACAUGUUGCAAACCAGUUGCAAAGCCACACCCGCUCAUGCCCACUUGAUCAUAACACACAAGCCAAACAUAGAAUUUUACUUAGAUGUUCAAAUAGAGAAUAAUGAAUAGUGUGGUGCAUUAACAUCUAAUUUCCAAUAACUAAUGUUGACUUAUAAAAUCAAACAUAAAGAUGUGGGAUGGGUGACGACUGACGAGUAGUAUUAAGAUCGUAAAAAAGACACCAUUAAUUAAAAUGACAAGGAACCCUUAGUUUGAAUGAUAAUUAUUUACAAGAAUUAUAUUAUUUCGAGUAAAUUGCCAUUUUAGUCCAUGAGGUUUGACCAAAAUUGCCAUUUUAAUCCAAAUAGUUUUUUUCUUGCCAUUUUAGUCUAAAUAGUUUUGU